rnacentral:rRNA from 1 species
UACGGAGGGUGCGAGCGUUGUCCGGAAUCAUUGGGCGUAAAGGGCGCGUAGGUGGCCCGGUCAGCGUGCGGUGAAAGCUCGGGGCUCAACCCCGAGUCGGCCGUGCGAACUGCUGGGCUCGAGCACUGUAGAGGCAGGCGGAAUUCCGGGUGUAGCGGUGGAAUGCGUAGAGAUCCGGAAGAGCACCGGUGGCGAAGGCGGCCUGCUGGGCAGUGGCUGACACUGAGGCGCGACAGCGUGGGGAGCAAACAGG